CAGUCGCCGCGGUAAUACGAAGGGUGCAAGCGUUAAUCGGAAUUACUGGGCGUAAAGCGUGCGUAGGCGGUUUGUUAAGUCUGUUGUGAGAUCCCCGGGCUCAACCUGGGAAUGGCAAUGGAUACUGGCAAGCUAGAGUGUGUCAGAGGAUGGUGGAAUUCCCGGUGUAGCGGUGAAAUGCGUAGAGAUCGGGAGGAACAUCAGUGGCGAAGGCGGCCAUCUGGGACAACACUGACGCUGAGGCACGAAAGCGUGGGUAGCAAACAGGAUUAGAUACCCCAGUAGUCCCUGUCUCUUAUAC
rnacentral:rRNA from 1 species